rnacentral:rRNA from 1 species
GAAGGGACGCAGGAUGGUAGACAGGCCGGUUUUUGGAAUCCGGUGCAAGUGCGUAGGUAUGCUCCGCAGGCAAAUCCGCGGGGAUGAGCCGAGACACGAGUCCGUGGGCGCAAGCCCUGAAGCUGUUGAGCCACGGCUGCCAAGAAAAGCUUCUAAGUUUAGAUCGCGCGAACCGUACCGCAAACCAACUCAGGUGGAUGGGAUGAAUAAUCCAAGGCGCUCGAGAGAACUCUGGCCAAGGAACUCGGCAAAUUGACCCCGUACCUUCGGAAUAAGGGGUGCUCCCCAUGGUGAGGCAGAUUCCUGCUCAGCCUCAGGGAGCCGCAGAGAAAUGGUGGUGGCGACUGUUUACUAAAAACAUAGGUCUGUGCGAAGUCCUACAGACGACGUAUACGGACUGACGCCUGCCCGGUGCCGGAAGGUUAAAAGGAGGAGUCAGCGCAAGCGAAGCUCCGAUUUGAAGCCCCGGUAAACGGCGGCCGUAACGAUAACGGUCCUAAGGUAGCGAAAUUCCUUGUCGGGCAAGUUCCGACCUGCACGAAUGGCGUAACGAUCUCCACGCUGUCUCGGCCAGAGACUCGGUGAAAUUGAAGUCGCGGUGAAAAUGCCGUGUACCCGCAGAAAGACGGAAAGACCCUGUGCACCUUUACUAUAGCUUGACAUUGGGUUUUGAACCUGCAUGUGUAGGAUAGGUGGGAGGCUGUGAAAGCUGUACGCCAGUAUGGCCGGAGCCACCCGUGAAAUACCACCCUUGUUUGUUCAGGACCCUAACUCGCAGCUGUAAUCCAGCGCGAAGACAGUGUCUGGUGGGUAGUUUGACUGGGGCGGUCGCCUCCUAAAGAGUAACGGAGGCAUGCAAAGGUUCCCUCAGGCUGAUUGGAAACCAGCCGUUGAGUGCAAGCGCAUAAGGGAGCUUGACUGCAAGAGAGACAUCUCGAACAGAUACGAAAGUAGGUGCUAGUGAUCCGGUGGUCCCGAAUGGAAGGGCCAUCGCUCAUUGGAUAAAAGGUACGCCGGGGAUAACAGGCUGAUCGCAUCCAAGAGUUCACAUCGACGAUGCGGUUUGGCACCUCGAUGUCGGCUCAUCACAUCCUGGGGCUGAAGCAGGUCCCAAGGGUACGGCUGUUCGCCGUUUAAAGUGGUACGCGAGCUGGGUUUAAAACGUCGUGAGACAGUUUGGUCCCUAUCUUCUGUGGGCGUAGGAGAAUUGAGAGGGUUCGUCCCUAGUACGAGAGGACCGGGAUGAACGCACCACUGGUGGAUCAGUUGUCGCGCCAGCGGCAUAGCUGAGUAGCUAUGUGCGGAAUGGAUAACCGCUGAAAGCAUCUAAGCGGGAAGCCAGCCUCGAGAUAAGUUCUCCCUGUCGCAAGACACUAAAGGGCCGAUGAAGACUACAUCGUUGAUAGGCCGGAGGUGGAAGCGCUGCGAAGCGUGGAGCUGACCGGUACUAAUAGCCCGAGCGC